UGGGGAAUAUUGCACAAUGGGCGCAAGCCUGAUGCAGCCAUGCCGCGUGUAUGAAUAAGGCCUUCGGGUUGUAAAGUACUUUCAGUCGGGAGGAAGGUGGUAAGGUUAAUAACCUUAUCAAUUGACGUUACCGACAGAAGAAGCACCGGCUAACUCCGUGCCAGCAGCCGCGGUAAUACGGAGGGUGCAAGCGUUAAUCGGAAUUACUGGGCAUAAAGCGCACGCAGGCGGUUGAUUGAGUCAGAUGUGAAAUCCCCGGGCUUAACCCGGGCAUUGCAUCUGAUACUGGUCAGCUAGAGUCUUGUAGAGGCGGGUAGCAUUCCAUGUGUAGCGGUGAAAUGCGUAGAGAUGUGGAAGAAUACCGGUGGCGAAGGCGGCCCCCUGGACAAAGACUGACGCUCAGGUGCGAAAGCGUGGGGAGCAAACAGG
rnacentral:rRNA from 1 species